rnacentral:lncRNA from 1 species
GAACGACUGCCAUUAAUGUGAGUGUGUUUUGAAAAUCUCAACAGAGUAAGCAUGUUACAAGGCCCUUGACAACCUACCUCCCACUGAGGCUGAGGCUGUCUUUUGACUUAAUCUUCACAAUGACAAACAAAUUAAAAUGUAUUAAGGCACAGUUCUAACCAAAUGGAGUAAACCCUCCAGGGAAGCUGAAACAGUUUAGAAUGUUCCACCCAACCCCCCUUUCAUGCCAUGGAGAUCCUAGAGCAGUCCAACAUCACCCACCUUGCUUGUGCUGUUCUCCCUUCCUGAAAUCCCCUUACCAGCUAAUUCUUAUCCAUCUACUGAGACUUGCUGAGGAAUCUCCUCUGACAUAAGUCAGCACUGGUGUCUGUGUACUGUCUCUUUUGUCUACCUGUUAGGGUGGAUCUGAAUCGCUUGGUGGGAAGGAGCUGGGACCCUGGCUCAUUCAUACUUGUGAAUGUAUAGCACAGUGCACGGUGCACAGAAGACAAAUAACGAGUAUUCGUAGAAGGCAGGGGGGAAGCCAGAUUUACUAGUUAAGUUUCAACCUUCGUCCCCAGUUUUAAUGAUGGGUGUUUUGUUCUUCUGCCUCGAACUCCAUAGGAUGAAACUUCCCAUGGGGCUAAAAGGCAUGACCUUGACCCCUGCCCAGCAGCCAGUUCUGCCAAAUUGUGGUUCUCCCUUGUCCUUCUCUCCAGUCUUUAGUCCUGGGCAAUGGAGGCUACUCUUGAACCUGAGUUCAAGACCAGGUCCUCAGUGCCUGUUGCCAGAACCAGUAGCCAACUCCCCAUUAAAACCUCCUUAAGUACAAGCCAGGGGCUGUGGGUUUGUGGGACUCUGGCCAACCCAGGCCUGGCCUGGGACCAGGGCCAAAGACACAGGCAACCUGACUGCUCUCUGGAGUGGGCAUCCAGGGUGGGGCUCUGGGGAAGUGCUCCUACCUGGACAAUGGGAUUCAGACCAGGCUUCCCCAUGUUCUCAGAGCUGAUAUCCCACAGUGCUCAUACUUGCCUGUUCUGUUCUUUCCUGUCUCCUGAAAAUACCCAAGCCCCACCUUACCUAAUGGCCUGUGCCUGA